AACCUCAUAAAAAUAUUAUAACAAUCUACAAACAAACCUAGUUGACUACCAUUCAAGAGUACUACAGACAAUGUGGCUAAAUUGGUAUACAGCUCUUGCUUCCAUUACAGCAGAUACAUUACAGUGGUGGCAAUGAGACUUGUAACAUUU